rnacentral:rRNA from 1 species
UACAGAGGGUGCGAGCGUUGUCCGGAAUCACUGGGCGUAAAGGGCGCGUAGGUGGCGGGAUAAGCGUGUGGUGAAAGCCCGGGGCUCAACCCCGUGUCUGCCAUGCGGACUGUCUUGCUCGAGCGUAGUAGAGGCAGGUGGAAUUCCGGGUGUAGCGGUGGAAUGCGUAGAGAUCCGGAAGAACACCAAAGGCGAAGGCACCAUCCUGGGGAGUCACUGACGCUCGGGUGCGAAAGCUAGGGGAGCGAACGGG